GCCCGGGUGGUGGAACCGGUAGACACGGGGGACUUAAAAUCCCCUCCGCAAGGGUGCGGGUUCGAGCCCCGCCCCGGGCA
rnacentral:tRNA from 1 species